rnacentral:misc_RNA from 1 species
AAGUCGUAACAAGGUUUCCGUAGGUGAACCUGCGGAAGGAUCAUUAAAAAAUAUAGAAUUAAUUUUCUAUAAACCCAAUCUGUGUAUUCGUACCUGUUGCUUCCGUGGGACAGUGAACGCUGUAUGAAGAUUGCAGUCUGAGCGAAAAGCUAGAUUAUUUAAAACUUUCAACAACGGAUCUCUUGGUUCCG